CAGAGGAUAAAGGGAGUGGGUGUGGAGGCUCUUGUUCCUCUUUUGGCAUGAUGUAGCAUCAGCAGUGAUGGUGGAAGUUGUCUACAUAUCCUAAAUCAUUGAGAGAUGAGAGAUGUAAAGCUAAGUUUCACUGACCAUUUAGAAGAACAUGUGGGUCAAAUCUCAGCUCCUAUCAAUUCUGAACCUCCUUGGAGUUCCACCAGCAACCUUCCCCCUGGCCUGGAAGGAGAGAACAACAUUUAUAGGUUUUCUUUGCCAAAGACGCUGGAGUAGUUUGCCAUUUCCUUCUCCAGUUCAUUUUACAACUGAGAAAACUGGGGCAAACAGGGGUCAGUGACUUGUUCAGGGUCACACAGCUAGUGUCUGAGGCCAAAUUUGAAUUCAGGAAGAUGACUCAAGGGUGGGUACCCUAUCCACUAACUAUACCACCUACCUGCCUAGUGUUUCCAUUAUGAGGGGUUAUUUAAAUGUGCAAAAAACUUGUAAUGAUUAAUAAUAAACGUGACUUGAAAUAAAAUUUUGCUUCCCGU
rnacentral:lncRNA from 1 species